rnacentral:misc_RNA from 1 species
CCUAGAGUUGUAGGCUUUGCCUGCUAUCUCUUACCCAUGUCUUUUGAGUACCUUCGUUUCCUCGGCGGGUCCGCCCGCCGAUUGGACAAUUUAAACCAUUCGCAGUUGCAAUCAGCGUCUGAAAAAACUUAAUAGUUA